rnacentral:rRNA from 1 species
CCCUUUACCUGGUUGAUCCUGCCAGUAGUGUGUGCUCAUUGAAAGGAUUAAGCCAUGCAUGUCUAAGAUCGGGUGUUUAUACAACCUAAUCUGCGGACGGCUCAUUAAAUCGGUUAAAAUGUACACGGCAAUAACUUACUAGUCGGAUAACACUGGUAAAUCUAGAGCUAAUACGUGCUUCCACUUCGGUGGGCAUUUAUUAGGUUGAAGCCAAUCGCUCUUCGGAGUGUUUAGGUGAUUCAUAAUAACUUAGCAGAUCGCGCAAGCGACAAGCCGUUCCAUUUUCCGCUCUAUCACACUUUCGACGGUAGAAUAGGGGUCUACCGUGGUAAUAACGGAUAACGGAGAAUUAGGGUUUGACUCCGGAGAUGGAGCCUGAGAAAUGGCUACAACUUCUAAGGAAGGCAGCAGGCGCGAAAAUUCUCCAAUGGCCAAAGGCCGAGAGAGCGACUCAACAUAACGAGAUUUUCUCUAUGAGAAAAUCAUCGCAAUGAGUACAGCAUACAACACUCUUCGAGAAACAAUUGGAGGGCAAGUUCUGGUGCCAGCAGCCGCGGUAAUUCCAGCUCCAAUAGUGCACAUUAAAGUUGCUGCGAUUAAAAAGCACGUAGCCGGAUUUUGGGGUGCCUGUAUCGACCCCACUCAGUAGAGUGGUGUGUUGAACACGGGUGUCCUUUCGCUUGGGUGUGACUUUCGGGUCUCGCUCGGGCAUAUUACCAUGAGGAAAUUGGAGUGCUCAAGGCAUGCGUCUUGCAGUUGAACAGUACAGCAUGGGAUAAUUUUACAUGACGUGUUUCCAUUCUAUUGGUUUCUGGGAACACGUAAUGAUUAAUGGGGGCGGUUGAGGUCCUUCGUACUCAAAUGUUAGCAGUGGAAUGCUCAGACCAUUUGAAGACGAACAAAGGCGAAAGCAAUGGACUUACACGUUCUCGUCGGUCAAGUACGAUAGCAUGAGGAGAGAAGGCGAUUAGUUACCGCCGUAUUUCAUGCCGUAAACGAUGCCACCUGGGGAUUGGGAAUCCAAGAAGCUUCUCAGGACCCUCCGAGAAAUCAAAGUCAUCAGGCUUCGGGGGAAUUACGCUCGCAAGAGUGAAACUUAAAGGAAUUGACGGAAGGCUGCCUCAAGCUGUGGAGUCUGCGGCUUAAUUUGACCCAACGCGGGGAACCUCACCAGGGCCAGACACAGCAAGGAUUGACAGGUUAAGUGGGCCUUUCAUGAUUCUGUGGAUGGUGGUGCAUGGCCGCUGAAAGUGAGUGAUGUGAGUUGUCUGCUUUAUUGCGAUAACUAACGAGACCUCCGCUGUUAAAUAGUCAGCUUUAGAUUUUUUCUAGAGUAUGGCUUCUUAACGGGACUACUGUAGUGAUACAGGGGAAGCGGGAGGCUAUAGCAGGUCAGUGAUGCCCUUUUAUGUCUUUGGGCCGCACGCGGACUACACUGGCAACUUCAACGAGUCAACCUGUGCCGAGAGGUAUGGGUAACCUUGUGAAAAGUUGUCGUGACUGGGAUUGGCGAUUGCAAUUGUUCGCCAUGAACGAGGAAUAGUUAGUAAUCGUGUGUCAUAAACGCACGAUGACUAAGACCCCAGCCUUUGUACACACCGCCCGUCGCUCCUACCGAUUGGAUGAUCCGCCGAGUUUUUCGGAUUGUGGCUAUGGUUCCCUUGUGGAGUUCAGCGCUGCGAGAAGUUAUGCAAGGCUAAUUAUCUAGAGGAAGGAGAAGUCGUAACAAGGUAUCCGUAGGUGAACCUGCGGAAGGAAGGG